CCUCAUUCUAUGGGUUGUUAUGAUGCAAUAUCAUCACAACCUCCAUGAACGAGGGUA
rnacentral:pre_miRNA from 1 species